UACAGAGGGUGCAAACGUUGCUCGGAAUCAUUGGGCGUAAAGCGCACGUAGGCGGCCCAGCAAGUGGGGAGUGAAAGCCUGUGGCUCAACCACAGAAUUGCCUUCGAUACUGUUUGGCUUGAGACCGGAAGAGGUUAGUGGAACUGCGAGUGUAGAGGUGAAAUUCGUAGAUAUUCGCAAGAACACCAGUGGCGAAGGCGGCUGACUGGUCCGGUUCUGACGCUGAGGCGCGAAAGCGUGGGGAGCAAACAGG
rnacentral:rRNA from 1 species